AGUUCUUGCGCCUGCAGUUCACUCUGUAAGUGGCUGAAAUAGAGCUGGACCAACUUGAAGCCAGGAGUGGGAGUAUUCAUCACAGUUUUCCAUACAGGAAUAAACCCCAAGAAAAGGAAGAAUGGAUGAUACAGUUGAGAGGGAGUAAUUACUAGAACAAAGUCCAUAAAGAUGCAAGAUUUGCAUGGGAUCUAGAAC